UACGUAGGGUGCGAGCGUUGUCCGGAAUUAUUGGGCGUAAAGAGCUUGUAGGCGGUUUGUCGCGUCUGCUGUGAAAAUCCGGGGCUCAACCCCGGACUUGCAGUGGGUACGGGCAGACUAGAGUGUGGUAGGGGAGACUGGAAUUCCUGGUGUAGCGGUGGAAUGCGCAGAUAUCAGGAGGAACACCGAUGGCGAAGGCGGAUCUCUGGGCCUUGCCUGACGCUGAGGCGCGAAAGCUAGGGGAGCGAACAGG
rnacentral:rRNA from 1 species